rnacentral:rRNA from 1 species
UACGUAGGGGGCAAGCGUUGUCCGGAUUUAUUGGGCGUAAAGAGCGUGUAGGCGGCCAGAUAGGUCCGUUGUGAAAACUCGAGGCUCAACCUCGAGACGCCGAUGGAAACCAUCUGGCUAGAGUCCGGAAGAGGAGAGUGGAAUUCCCGGUGUAGCGGUGAAAUGCGUAGAGAUGGGGGAGAACACUCGUGGCGAAGGCGGCCAGCUAGACCAGUUCUGACACUGAGGCGCGACAGCGUGGGGAGCAAACAGG